UACGAAGGACCCGAGCGUUAUCCGGAUUUAUUGGGUUUAAAGGGUGCGUAGGCGGAAUAGUAAGUCAGUGGUGAAAGCCUGUUGCUUAACAACAGAACUGCCAUCGAUACUGCUAAUCUUGAGUACAUAUGAUGUGGGCGGAAUGUGCCAUGUAGCGGUGAAAUGCUUAGAUAUGGCACAGAACACCGAUUGCGAAGGCAGCUCACAAAACUGUUACUGACGCUGAGGCACGAAAGCGUGAGGAUCAAACAGG
rnacentral:rRNA from 1 species